GUUGUCGUCGACUUUUCAGCAAAAUGGUGUGGGCCCUGUAAAAUGAUUCGUCCUUUUGUUUACGAAUUUGCUGUUCGGUAUGAAAAUGUACAGUUCUGCAUUGUUGAUGUGGAUGCGGCAGAGGAUGUGGCUAACUAUUGCAGUAUCAUCGCCAUGCCAACAUUUCAGCUGUACAAGAAAGAACAGAAG